rnacentral:rRNA from 1 species
AGAGUUUGAUCCUGGCUCAGGACGAACGCUGGCGGCGUGCCUAACACAUGCAAGUCGAGCGGAGACAGUGAGUAGCUUGCUAUGAGCUGUUUUAGCGGCGGACGGGUGAGUAACGCGUGAGCAACCUUUCCCAGACAGGGGAAUAACACACCGAAAGGUGUACUAAUACCGCAUAAGACCACGGGAUCACAUGGUUCUGGGGUAAAAGAUUUAUCGGUUUGGGGUGGGCUCGCGUCAGA